UAUGUUCAUGGGAAGGCCAAUAAAUCCCUUCCCUUGCGCAUGGAAGAGGAGCUGGUUGAGCAAUGUAAGUGGGAUAGUGCUGUCCAGGCAUCACUACUGAAAAAUCGGAUGCACACGAUGUUGUUGGUACUGGCUGGGGGUUUUCCAGUUUNNNNNNNGGUCCUGAUUCCAGGGACCUGUUGAUCACCUCUUGAGGUGAAGAAAAAGGAGGGUUUGGCCUAAACAGAUGUUCGAAAAUCGCCAUGAUCAGGAACAUUGAUAUUAAUAUAGCUGUAGCAACAAAUCCAAAGGCAAUGGCAUUCAUUGAUGUUCCAAAAUUUUUCCAUGGAGCUUCUCUGUCGAUGACUCCAGUCUGAGAUGGGGUAGGGUCUGAAUUUGCAUAUAUGUUCCAUGGCUUUGAUCUUUCAGAACUAAAAUCGCUCAUAGUCCUGUUCUGUUCUUUGUUGAAACUUCUUUAGAUCGCGUGAAAUGGGCUACCAGACUGACAGUUCAGCAGUUGUUUUCUCUAAGGGAUGUCCUUGCUCAUUUGUGGAUUGCCAGUAGUACUGACCCUUAUUAUGAAUAGUAGUAGUUGGAAGGCAUUUGGUUUUGGUCCAGAGAAGUAGGAGCACACAUUAUCUGAGACUAGAGAUCCUAUAGCUUAGCUGCCAUGUAAAAACAAGACACCCACACUUCUCAAUGAAUAAUUUAAACCAUGUAGCUAGCUUUAUAGCCCAAUAGAAAAUGUAAAGACAAAGUUAUAUGAUAAUCGCAGCAGUACAAUAUUUCUCCUUUUUUUAUGUUUGAUGUUCUUGAUGCCUAACUUAAUGGAUACUAUACCUUGUCUCAAGAAGCAUACUUAAAAGAAAUCAAAAGCAUGGGCCUUCAUGUCUGGAGAGCUAAAAACAAAGAGUGGCCUAUUGGGUGCUUUAAAAAGUAGUCACCUUUAUGUGCUGAAUUACAUUAAGAGAUGGAAAAAUUUUCUUAACCCUAACCCUACCU
rnacentral:misc_RNA from 1 species